rnacentral:rRNA from 1 species
UACGUAGGGUGCAAGCGUUGUCCGGAAUUAUUGGGCGUAAAGAGCUCGUAGGCGGUCUGUCACGUCGGCUGUGAAAACCCGAAGCUCAACCUCGGGCCUGCAGUCGAUACGGGCAAACUAGAGUACUGCAGGGGAGACUGGAAUUCCUGGUGUAGCGGUGAAAUGCGCAGAUAUCAGGAGGAACACCGAUGGCGAAGGCAGGUCUCUGGGCCACUACUGACGCUGAGAAGCGAAAGCAUGGGGAGCGAACAGG